AUUGUGUUUCUGGGAUCAAAGGAGGAAGGACACGUUGAAGAAACUCUCUCUAGGAAGUCGUAAAGGCAGCGCCCCUGGUUUGAGUGGCCAUGAGGUCCUCCAGAUUGAUCACAGGUUCCCAUCUACCAUGGAUAACUGUCACCUGCACACUCUCCCACUUAAUUUUCAUCCUCAAAGGUAUAUAAAAUGCGCCACAUUCUGCCUACAAAAUGCUAAUUGCCAUCUAUUCUGCAUUAAAGGCGAUGAUUGCAUCCUCUUCAGCACCUGGGUGACUACUGAAUAUGUUGGCACUGAUCAGUACUAUGGCUUCAACUCGUGUCAUUCGUCAUGGUUUUAUUCCAAGAACCUGGCGACUACAGCAGUAGUUACGAUGCCGUCGCCUUAUUCCGCGAAUCACGCUGCAAACCAGGCCACCAAUGGGUAUUACUGCUAUUUAUAUGAUUCCUGCAGCGUCACCAAUGAUAUAAAUUACCCUUGGUGGCAAGCCGAUCUCCAGAAGGCAUAUGUCGUCUCAGCCGUCAUCGUGAAACCAAGAGACGACUACUACAGCUUCAUUAACGUAGAGAUACGAUUUGGAAAUUCGUCUGUCAUCGGCCAGAACCCAUUACUGGGCACACACCCAGGAACCACACCUCCACCCGGCACUGUCCUCACUUUCAAGCCUCCAAUCCCCAUGGAAGGACGAUACCUCACUUUCCAGUCACCUAGAUAUGGUGGUCUUUCUAUUUGCGAAGUCCAGAUCGUUGAGGCCUAAAGAUACAUGAAAAUAUGUGGUCCAUCAAACAAAGUGAACAGUUGCACUGAAACAAGAGGUCAUAAAACCUAUGUUGAAUGGAAUGACACUAGAAACAAUGCUUUCAUGCAUUGUAUGGGAUAAUUCAGAUGGAUAAUUUCCAAUUUCAAUGUACUUUACUUCCUGAUUUUAUUUACAAUCGUCAAACCUAAGAAAUGCUAGAGUACCUUUAAUUUGUUAGAAAGCUAUCACUUGAAUGAUGUUCAAACUUUGAGUAAUUUGUCACAAGUAAAAUAAAAUGAAAAAGUUUGAGAAAAUAAAUUAUUCUUCUGUUGUAACUGCUGU